CCGCGACCCCAGGUCAGGC
rnacentral:rRNA from 30 species